CCUACGGGUGGCAGCAGUGGGGAAUAUUGCACAAUGGGGGAAACCCUGAUGCAGCGACGCCGCGUGAGUGAAGAAGUAUUUCGGUAUGUAAAGCUCUAUCAGCAGGGAAGAAAAUGACGGUACCUGACUAAGAAGCCCCGGCUAACUACGUGCCAGCAGCCGCGGUAAUACGUAGGGGGCAAGCGUUAUCCGGAUUUACUGGGUGUAAAGGGAGCGUAGACGGCAGCGCAAGUCUGGAGUGAAAUGCCAGGGCUUAACCCCGGAACUGCUUUGGAAACUGUGCAGCUAGAGUGCAGGAGAGGUAAGUGGAAUUCCUAGUGUAGCGGUGAAAUGCGUAGAUAUUAGGAGGAACACCAGUGGCGAAGGCGGCUUACUGGACUGUAACUGACGUUGAGGCUCGAAAGCGUGGGGAGCAAACAGGAUUAGAUACCCGAGUAGUC
rnacentral:rRNA from 1 species